GUUUGGGGACUGGCCGCAGUGUGUUAUGGGAUGUUGGAGAGCUGACGCCAUCUCUGUGAGGUGUUUUUAUUUUUAGCAGGCAGUGAACUGACAACGCUAAAAUCAUGGGCAGGAAGAAGAAAAAGCAGAUGAAGCCUUGGUGUUGGUACUGUAACAGAGAUUUCGAUGAUGAAAAGAUUCUCAUCCAGCAUCAGAAAGCCAAACACUUCAAGUGCCACAUCUGUCAUAAGAAGCUGUACACCGGCCCCGGGCUCGCCAUCCACUGUAUGCAGGUACAUAAAGAGACCAUUGAUGGAGUUCCUAAUGCAAUACCUGGAAGAAUAGAUAUUGAACUGGAGAUAUACGGCAUGGAGGGUAUUCCAGAGAAAGACAUGGAGGAGAGGAGAAGGAUGUUAGAGCAGAAGAACCAAGAGACUCAGAAGAAGAAGCAGAACCAGGAUGACUCUGAUGAAUAUGAAGACGACGAUGAGCCCGGUCCCUCCUUUCAGCAGCCUGCUGCACGUCAGCCACAAGCUGGCUAUGUCCCCCCUAUGACCCAGCCUGGUAUGCUUCCUGUUGGAUCUGGGACCCCAGCAUUACCACCAGGCAGCUACUCAGGAAUUCCCCCGAUGAUGCCAGGUGUGCCACCCAUGAUUCCAGCGACGCCCCCUGUAAUGCCAGGAAUGCCUCCAGGGAUGAUCCCAAUGGGUGGGAUGAUGCCUCCGAUGAUGCCCGGUGUACCACCAGGCAUUCCUCCUCCAAUGGGUACCCGUCCAGCCAUCACUCACAUGCCUCAGCUCCCGCCUGCUGCAGGCAUGCUACCCAGACCUGCAGUUCCUGCUGGACCGUCGGUGCAACCUGAUGUCACAAAACCUCUUUUCCCGAGUGCUGGGCAGAUGGCCGGUCAAGUUGCAAGUAGAAGUAAAGCCUCACCAAGCGCAGACACUCAGUCCGCUUCCCCUAAAGCUCUGUUCCCUAGCACUUCACAAAGUCAGCAGACAGUGUCGGGGUCCCCUCACACUCCCCCCUCCACUACCUCUGACCUCGCAAAGCCCACUUUCCCAGCCUACACUCAGUCCUCCACCGGUUUGGCCAGCCCAAAUGCUGGCAGCAGUACGGUCUCCAAACCUCCCUCCACAGUAACCAGUAAGCCUGCCACGCUCACCACCUCCAGUGCAACCAGUAAGUUGAUCCACCCUGAUGAGGAUAUCUCACUGGAAGAGUUUCGGGCUCAGUUGUCCCAGUACCAGUGCAGUAUUCCCCGCCAAGGCCAGACCACCAGUGCUACAGCGUCAGUGGGUGGUAUGAUGGCUCCUCAGCAGCACAGCAUGAGGCAUCCCAUACCUGGUCAGUAUGGUGGGCCACAGCAGGGGAUGCCAGGCUACAUACCUGGGCGAAUACCUCCGUAUAUUCAGGCCCCUCCAGUUGUUCCCCCAGUGUACCAGGGAGCCCCUCCACGGCCAACCAUUGUCACGAGACCCCCUGUCAUGUCUCCUGGAGGCCACUACUGAAGUCUGCUCCCUCUCUUCAAUAGGUGUAUAGAAGUGUAGUAGAUAUGGUUCGUAGUGUUGUGAAGGCGCUGGAGUUACAUGGGCAGUACCCACCCUUUAUCAAGCAAUGCCAUUGGGGGGAACUGGCUGAGGCCCUGUCUCAGUGUAGCCCUGUUUCAGCCAGAGGCAAGUCUCACUGUUUUCUGUCUUCUCAUUCAUUAUCAGGGGCCCUCACAGCUUACAUGCUGUUGGAUAUCGGUGUCCCCAAACUUGCAGCAAGUUUGGUGAAGGUCCUUGUUUGUGUUCUUGUAUUUAGGCAUCUUUUUUCUUAAAACAUGUUAACAAACGUAAACAAUAUUUCAUUGUUUGUCAUUAAACUAUCUACCCUGUCCUCCAUUUACUGGUCAAACUCUUUGCUAGUCUCCCUCAACCCUAAGCCUGGAUACUACACUCAGUCUCAGUAUUACUAUCCUGAUUCGGUUAUCUUGUCCUGGGUUUUUGAACAUUUUGUGUAAUAGUGUGGAAUGGAUCAGAGAAAACCACAUGUGAUCAGGAAGCACUGAUCAUGGUGGAAAUGUUGUACAAAGUGGAUCUGUAGUAAAUGACCUAUGAGAAUGAGUAUUCCUGUGCAGCCAUAACCAUGGAACAAGCAAUUGCCACUAUAGUUCGAAAGGGAAACUGUCACUGCUGCUUUUAAAAUAAAAGCAGUACAUGCUGCUUCCAUCGGCAAGAGAGGGAAAACCACCAUCAACUUUCUUGACAAAGAAUGGCAUCACAGCCAGGCACAGAAGAAAAAAGUUUUAAAAUGAAACUUGAGUUUCAUUUUUAACCAACUUAAAAUUCAAAAUUACUUUUUGGCAGAAGUUUUCUCUGAAAUCUUUAGGAUCUUUAGACCAGUGAAGAUCUCUGUGGGUGAGACCAUCUGAAAAGUCUUUAAAGUAUAGAGCUUUCAAAUGUAUUUUACAAUUAUAUGGACUAUUAAAGGCAUGUUCAAGGCCUAAAAGUUCUACAGUAGCAUCACCAUUUGCAGUUAAAAUGUGUGGCAGGAUGUUUGAAUGAACAAACUACUUUUCACAUGUUCCUAAAAUGGCUUAACUACUUAAUCCUGUUUGUUUUAUUAGCUUUCCUCAUUUGAUCAUUUGAAUUUAACUAUUUACUUAAAGGAGAAUCUCUGCCAGUAAUGGGUUAGUUAAAGCAGUAAGUACCACAACUAUAAUUGAUUGAUGAUGUUCGUCAAAUUGUAUUUGGUAUGGCAUUUUUUUUUUUUAUGUCUGACACAAACUUCUGAAAAAACUGCAUCCUUCAUAAAUCUGAAAGGAAUUUUAUAUUGGUGUGCUGCAAUUUUUUUCACUACUACUAAUAAAUGCUAGUGAGCAUUUGAAAAUGAUUUCAGCAAUAUACAGAUGUCAUUCAGUCAGACUUUAUUGGUAAGUAUAGUCUUAUAUUAUUAUUAUUUUUUUUUAAUUCUGUAAACUGUUUACUUCUUGAAGUAUACCAUUUCAUGAAAGAAAAUUAAUUGGCUCAUAUUUAUGAAAUAAUGUACUAUGCUUCAGUUUUCAACCUAGAACUUUCAAUGUAAAAUGUCUCAAUUUACAUAAACCAAUUCAUAACUUUUGAUGUAUUUAACUCUAUUUAACUUGUAUUUUUUCUGCACUGGAUGUUGAACACUGAGGUUUUCACUAAAUAAAUGUAAAUACAAAUAACAUUUCUACAUUUCAUGAUACAAACACAAAAUGAAUAAAAACAGUAAGUUAAGAAAGUACUAUCAUCAAAUAUUGUCAAGUAGAAAAAGUAAUGCCUGUGUGAAAGCAGUCUGUAUUUACAUGAAAGUCUGUACAAGAAAGGUAUUGUCCCACAUUAAAAUGAUCUCAGAACACAUUUGCAGUCUCUCAAGAAUAUCCUUUUUUUUUUUUUACAGAAAUGAGGCACACUUUGUUUCACCAUUCAAAGAUCAUUUAAAAAAAUAUGCUAACAACAGAAAAACACAA